AGGCGCAUGAGAGAUGGCUACCACAUCUAAGGAAGGCAGCAGGCGCGUAAAUUACCCAAUCCUGACACAGGGAGGUAGUGACAAGAAAUAACAAUACAGGGCAACUCUGUCUUGUAAUUGGAGUGAUUUUAUUUUAGAUCUGCUGAUGAGUAUCAAUUGGAGGGCAAGUCUGGUGCCAGCAGCCGCGGUAAUUCCAGCUCCAAUAGCAUAUGUUAAAGUUGUUGCGGUUAAAAAGCUCGUAGUUGAACUUCUGCUGAGGGUUGCCAACCCGCCCUCUGGGCGUAGGCUUGGCCUGCCUCAGUAUCUUCUCGGAGAACGUAGAUGCACUUGACUGUGUGGUGCGCUAUCUGAGGCGGUUACUUUGAGGAAAUUAGAGUGCUUAAAGCAGGUCGCUGCCCUGAAUACAUUAGCAUGGCAUGAUAGGUCAGAACCUCUUGUUCUUCUAUGUUGGUUUUAGAGCAGAGGGGAAGGUGAAUAGGAACAGUUGGGGGGUAUUCAUAUUUGACUGUCAGAGGUGAAAUUCUUGGAUUUGUGAAAGAUGGACUACUGCGAAAGCAUCUGCCAGAGAUGUCUUCAUUGAUCAAGAACGAAAGUUAGGGGAUCGAAGACGAUCAGAUACCGUCCUAGUCUUAGCCAUAAACCAUGCCGACUAGAGAUUGGAGGUUGUUACCAGCACGACCCCUUCAGCAUCUUCCGAGAAAUCAAAGUCUUUGGGUUCCGG
rnacentral:rRNA from 1 species